UACGGGGGGGGCAAGCGUUGUUCGGAAUUACUGGGCGUAAAGGGCUCGUAGGCGGCCAACUAAGUCAGACGUGAAAUCCCUCGGCUUAACCGGGGAACUGCGUCUGAUACUGGAUGGCUUGAGUUUGGGAGAGGGAUGCGGAAUUCCAGGUGUAGCGGUGAAAUGCGUAGAUAUCUGGAGGAACACCGGUGGCGAAGGCGGCCUCCUGGACCAACACUGACGCUGAGUGAGCGAAAGCCAGGGGAGCAAACGGG
rnacentral:rRNA from 1 species